AACGCACAUUGCGCCCAUUAGUAUUCUAGUGGGCAUGCCUGUUCGAGCGUCAUUUCAACCCUUAAGCCUAGCUUAGUGUUGGGAGACUGCCUAAUACGCAGCUCCUCAAAACCAGUGGCGGAGUCUGUUCGUGCUCUGAGCGUAGUAAUUCUUUAUCUCGCUUCUGUAAGCCGGUCAGACGACAGCCAUAAACCGCACCCUUCGGGGGCACUUUUUAAUGGUUGACCUCGGAUCAGGUAGGAAUACCCGCUGAACUUAA
rnacentral:misc_RNA from 1 species